rnacentral:sRNA from 1 species
UCAAACUCCGGUCGAUGUCGACCCCCAAA